UGGGGAAUAUUGCGCAAUGGGGGGAACCCUGACGCAGCCAUGCCGCGUGAAUGAAGAAGGCCUUAGGGUCGUAAAGUUCUUUCGGUAUUGGGGAAGGUUGAUGUGUUAAUAGCACAUCAAAUUGACGUUAAAUACAGAAGAAGCACCGGCUAACUCCGUGCCAGCAGCCGCGGCAAUACGGAGGGUGCGAGCGUUAAUCGGAAUAACUGGGCGUAAAGGGCACGCAGGCGGUUAUUUAAGUGAGGUGUGAAAGCCCCGGGCUUAACCUGGGAAUUGCAUUUCAGACUGGGUAACUAGAGUACUUUAGGGAGGGGUAGAAUUCCACGUGUAGCGGUGAAAUGCGUAGAGAUGUGGAGGAAUACCGAAGGCGAAGGCAGCCCCUUGGGAAUGCACUGACGCUCAUGUGCGAAAGCGUGGGGAGCAAACAGGAUUAGAUACCCUGGUAGUCCACGCUGUAAACGCUGUCGAUCUGGGGGUUGGGGUUUAACUCUGGCGCCCGUAGCUAACGUGAUAAAUCGACCGCCUGGGGAGUACGGCCGCAAGGUUA
rnacentral:rRNA from 1 species